rnacentral:rRNA from 1 species
AGAGUUUGAUCCUGGCUCAGAUUGAACGCUGGCGGCAUGCCUUACACAUGCAAGUCGAACGGUAACAGGUCUUUCGGGAUGCUGACGAGUGGCGAACGGGUGAGUAAUACAUCGGAACGUGCCUAGUAGUGGGGGAUAACUACUCGAAAGAGUGGCUAAUACCGCAUGAGAUCUAUGGAUGAAAGCAGGGGACCUUCGGGCCUUGUGCUACUAGAGCGGCCGAUGGCAGAUUAGGUAGUUGGUGGGAUAAAAGCUUACCAAGCCUACGAUCUGUAGCUGGUCUGAGAGGACGAUCAGCCACACUGGGACUGAGACACGGCCCAGACUCCUACGGGAGGCAGCAGUGGGGAAUUUUGGACAAUGGGCGCAAGCCUGAUCCAGCAAUGCCGCGUGCAGGAUGAAGGCCUUCGGGUUGUAAACUGCUUUUGUACGGAACGAAAAGUCUUGGGUUAAUACCCUGGGAUCAUGACGGUACCGUAAGAAUAAGCACCGGCUAACUACGUGCCAGCAGCCGCGGUAAUACGUAGGGUGCAAGCGUUAAUCGGAAUUACUGGGCGUAAAGCGUGCGCAGGCGGUUUUGUAAGACAGUGGUGAAAUCCCCGGGCUCAACCUGGGAACUGCCAUUGUGACUGCAAAGCUGGAGUGCGGCAGAGGGGGAUGGAAUUCCGCGUGUAGCAGUGAAAUGCGUAGAUAUGCGGAGGAACACCGAUGGCGAAGGCAAUCCCCUGGGCCUGCACUGACGCUCAUGCACGAAAGCGUGGGGAGCAAACAGGAUUAAUACCCUGGUAGUCCACGCCCUAAACGAUGUCAACUGGUUGUUGGGAUUUAUUUUCUCAGUAACGA